rnacentral:rRNA from 1 species
UACGUAGGUGCAAGCGUUGUCCGGAUUUCUUGGGUUUAAAGGGUGCGUAGGCUGCCCUGUAAGUUAGUGGUGAAAUACUCCAGCUUAACUGGAGGGGUGCCAUUGAUACUGCAGGGCUUGAGUGGAGUCGAAGUAGGCGGAAUUGACGGUGUAGCGGUGAAAUGCUUAGAUAUCGUCAAGAACACCGAUAGUGAAGACAGCUUACUAGGCUUCUACUGACGCUGAGGCACGAAAGUGUGGGGAUCAAACAGG